rnacentral:lncRNA from 1 species
CCUCCUCAGAAUGGAUGCGCUCGGCUGAUUUCAUACCUUCGUGGGUGUGAGUUCUGUGGUUCCCUCUGCGUGGUUGAAGGAUGCAGGUUCAUACACGGGGACCUGCCGUAAGGAUUCGUCCCUCUGAUCAUGGGCUCGAGGGUGGAGGUUCUGGUGCAGGAGUCUGGAGACGAGUAAUGGUCACCGUCAGCUGACGGAAGCGAACUACCCUAGUCGCCAGCUCCGUGGUCGAAUCUGUGGGUGAUAGCGUGGACCCCAGUGCGAGUAAGAGUCAAAAUUC